GAACCAGUACCGUGAGGGAAAGGCGAAAAGAACCCCGGGAGGGGAGUGAAACAGAACCUGAAACCUGAUGCAUACAAACAGUGGGAGCCCUUUUGGGGUGACUGCGUACCUUUUGUAUAAUGGGUCAACGACUUACAUUCAGUAGCGAGCUUAACCGGAUAGGGGAGGCGCAGGGAAACCGAGUCUUAACAGGGCGCAGAGUUGCUGGGUGUAGACCCGAAACCGAGUGAUCUAUCCAUGGCCAGGAUGAAGGUGCCGUAACAGGUACUGGAGGUCCGAACCCACGCAUGUUGCAAAAUGCGGGGAUGAGCUGUGGAUAGGGGUGAAAGGCUAAACAAACUCGGAGAUAGCUGGUUCUCCCCGAAAACUAUUUAGGUAGUGCCUCAUGUAUCACUUCCGGGGGUAAAGCACUGUUAUGGCUAGGGGGUCAUUGCGACUUACCAACCCAUGGCAAACUAAGAAUACCGGAAAGUGCAAUCAUGGGAGACAGACAGCGGGUGCUAACGUCCGUUGUCGAGAGGGAAACAACCCAGACCGCCAGCUAAGGUCCCCAAUGACAGAUUAAGUGGUAAACGAAGUGGGAAGGCCCAGACAGCCAGGAUGUUGGCUUAGAAGCAGCCAUCAUUUAAAGAAAGCGUAAUAG
rnacentral:rRNA from 1 species